GAAAGUAAGCAAGGGCAGACGGUGGAUGCCUUGGCUCUCGGAGGCGACGAAGGACGUGAUAAGCUGCGAAAAGCCCGGGGGAGGCGCAAAUAGCCCUUGAUCCCGGGAUAUCCGAAUGGGGUAACCCGGCAGGCUGAAGGCCUGCCAUCCCGUAAGGGAGGCGAACGUGGGGAACUGAAACAUCUAAGUACCCAUAGGAGGAGAAAAUAAACAAUGAUUCCGUAAGUAGUGGCGAGCGAACACGGAAGAGCCCAAACCCAUGUCGUCUAGGCGACACGGGGGUUGUAGGACCACGACGUGGCAAGAUAGAGUCAAGUGGAACGCCUUGGAAAAGGCGGUCAUAGAGGGUGAAAACCCCGUACACGACUGACGAUUGAAGCCUAGUGGCAUCCUGAGUAGCGCGGGGCACGAGAAAUCUUGCGUGAAUUAGCGGGGCCCAUCCCGUAAGGCUAAAUACUCCCGAGAGACCGAUAGCGAACCAGUACCGUGAGGGAAAGGUGAAAAGAACCCCGAGCAGGGGAGUGAAAUAGACCCUGAACCCGUCUGCCUACAAGCGGUCGGAGCGUCGUAAUGACGUGACGGCGUGCCUUUUGCAUAAUGAACCUACGAGUUACCUUCCCCGGCAAGGUUAAGUUCUUGAGGAACGGAGCCGAAGCGAAAGCGAGUCUGAACAGGGCGCCAAGUCGGGGGGGGUAGACGCGAAACCGAGUGAUCUACCCUUGGCCAGGUUGAAGGUUGGGUAACACCAACUGGAGGACCGGAUGGGUAAGCGUUGAAAAGCUUUCCAAUGAGCUGAGGGUAGGGGUGAAAGGCUAAUCAAACUCGGAGAUAGCUCGUACUCCCCGAAAUGCAUUUAGGUGCAGCCUCUUUAUAGUAUAUCGUGAGGUAGAGCGACUGAUUGGAUGCGAGGGCUUCACCGCCUAUCAAGUCCAGAUAAACUCCGAAUGCGCGAUAUAUAUUUACAGGGAGUGAGGGCGCGGGUGCUAAGGUCCGUGUCCGAGAGGAGAAGAAUCCAGACCACCGGCUAAGGCCCCCAAAUGAUCGUUAAGUUGAACUAACGAGGUCGGAUCGCAGAGACAGCUAGGAUGUUGGCUUGGAAGCAGCCAUUCAUUUAAAGAGUGCGUAACAGCUCACUAGUCGAGCGAUCUGGCGUGGAUAAUAAUCGGGCAUAAACGAUCUGCCGAAGCCGUGGAUGUCGCAAGACAUGGUAGGGGAGCAUUCCAUGCGGCGUCGAAGAUGAGGGAUGACCCUUGUUGGAGCGCAUGGAAAAGCAAAUGUAGGUAUGAGUAACGAUAAGGGGGGCGAGAACCCCCCCCGCCGAAAGACCAAGGUUUCCUGAUCAACGCUAAUCGGAUCAGGGUGAGUCGGGACCUAAGGCAAAGCCGAACGGCGCCGCCGAUGGAAGAAUGGGUUAAUAUUCCCAUACUGCCUCAUGGAGUGACGUGGAGACGGAGAAGUGACAGUCCUGCCGGCUGACGGAAUAGCCGGUUGAAGGGUGUAGAUAUUGAUUCCCGUAGGCAAAUCCGCGGGGAGAGUCGAACCUGAGAGUAUACGGAGCGCUUGCGCAACGUAAUAUGGACGUAACCAUGCUCCCGAGAAAAUCCGCUAAACUUAUCCAUGCGGCACCCGUACCGUAAACGGACACACGUGGUCGGGUUGAGAAUACUGAGGCGCUCGAGUGAUUCACGGUUAAGGAACUAGGCAAAUUGACCCUGUAACUUCGGGAUAAAGGGUCCUCGUCGUAAGGCGAGGCGCAGAGAAUAGGUCCAGGCAACUGUUUAACAAAAACACAUGGCUGUGCUAAAUGGAAACAUGAUGUAUACAGCCUGACACCUGCCCGGUGCCGGAAGGUUAAGAGGAGAUGUCAUCCGCGAGGAGAAGCGUUGAAUUGAAGCCCCGGUAAACGGCGGCCGUAACUAUAACGGUCCUAAGGUAGCGAAAUUCCUUGUCGGGUAAGUUCCGACCUGCACGAAUGGUGUAAUGAUCUGGACACUGUCUCAACCGUGAGCUCGGUGAAAUUGUAGUAUCGGUGAAGAUGCCGAUUACCCGCGAUGGGACGAAAAGACCCCGUGAACCUUUACUAUAGCUUUACAUUGAGUUUGGGCAGACGAUGUGUAGGAUAGGCCGGAGGC
rnacentral:rRNA from 1 species